rnacentral:rRNA from 1 species
GAGAAAGGGGAGCAAUCCCUGAGUAAAGAGGCGUACGGGUGAGUAACACGUGGGUAAUCCGCUCCUUGGUGGGGAAUAACUUUGGGAAACCGAAGCUAAUACCGCAUAAGUCCGAGAGGAGAAAGGCGAAAGUCGCCGAGGAAGGAGCCCGCGGCCGAUUAGCUAGUUGGUAGGGUAAAAGCCUACCAAGGCUUUGAUCGGUAGCCGGCCUGAGAGGGCACACGGCCACACUGGCACUGAGACACGGGCCAGACUCCUACGGGAGGCAGCAGUGGGGAAUCUUGCACAAUGGGGGAAACCCUGAUGCAGCGACGCCGCGUGAACGAUGAAGCCCUUCGGGGUGUAAAGUUCUUUCGACAGGAACGAUAAUGACGGUACCUGGAGAAGAAGCUGCGGCUAACUACGUGCCAGCAGCCGCGGUAAUACGUAGGCAGCAAACGUUGUUCGGAGUUACUGGGCGUAAAGAGUAUGUAGGUGGUUUGCUAAGUUUGGUGUGAAAUCUCCCGGCUCAACUGGGAGGGUGCGCCGAAUACUGGUGAACUCGAGUGUGGGAGAGGGAAGCGGAAUUUCUGGUGUAGCGGUGAAAUGCGUAGAUAUCAGAAGGAACACCGGUGGUGUAGACGGCUUCCUGGACCACAACUGACACUGAGAUACGAAAGCGUGGGGAGCAAACAGGAUUAGAUACCCUGGUAGUCCACGCCCUAAACGAUGCGAACUUGGUGU